UCAUUCGCUGAAUUCAAAUUUUGAAUCGGGGGAACCAAUGUUUAGGGGUGAAUCCUCAUAAGAGGUAGGGUGACUCUAACCAUCCAAACCCGACAGCUAACCUCGUAAGCGUUGUUUGGAG
rnacentral:sRNA from 1 species